UACGAAGGGGGCUAGCGUUGUUCGGAGUUACUGGGCGUAAAGCGCGCGUAGGCGGCAUUGCAAGUCGGGUGUGAAAUCCCCAGGCUUAACCUGGGAACUGCAUUCGAGACUGCAUUGCUAGAGUAUGGGAGAGGGAAGUGGAAUUUCCGGUGUAGCGGUGAAAUGCGUAGAUAUCGGAAGGAACAUCAGUGGCGAAAGCGACUUCCUGGACCAAUACUGACGCUCAUGUGCGAAAGCGUGGGGAGCAAACAGG
rnacentral:rRNA from 1 species